rnacentral:rRNA from 1 species
AUGGGCGCGGUGCUUUCUACGAAGAAAGCGACGAAAAUGGGUGUGGACGAGGUGGAGGUGGUGGAGUCGUGCAUGGUGGCACCCUGCCAGGAGACGCCCAGGAGAGGCAUGUGGCUCUCCCCGCUCGACCUCAUGCUGGUCAACAGAGGCCACACCCCCGCCGUCUACUUCUACCCGUACCGCUCCGAGCCCGGUGACUUCUUCGACGUGGCCAGGCUCAAGGCGGCGAUGGCCAAGGCACUCGUGGCUUUCUACCCCAUGGCCGGCCGCCUCGGCAUGGACGGCAACGGCCGGGCAGAGAUCGACUGCACCGGCCAGGGCGCGCUCUUCGUCGUCGCUCGCUCGGACCUCACCAUCGACGACUUCCGCAGCUUCUUGCCGUCGCCGGAGCUGAGGACGCUCUUUGUUCCCCGCGUCGAAGACCACUCGCCGUCCAUCUUGUGCGCUGUCCAGGUGACCUUCUUGAAGUGCGGCGGGGUGGCAUUAGGGACGGCGCUGCACCACGUCGCCGUCGACGCCAUCAGCGCGUUCCACUUCUUGCAGACGUGGUCUGCCUUCUCCAGGGGCGGCGGCGGGGCGGCGCUAGAGCUCCCGUUCCACGACCGCACCCUCCUCCGCGCGCGCUCCCCACCCUUGGUCCACCCCGACGCCUUCUCGGCCUUCUGCCCCAAGCUGAACCUAUCCGUCGAGCCGUCGGAGACCGUCGUCACCCAGGCUUUCGUCGUCUCCAAGGACCAGGUCACCGCUCUCAAGCGUGCCUGCGUCGGCGGCGACGGCGGCCGCGUGAGCACGUUCUGCGCCCUGAGUGCCCACGUGUGGCGGUGCGUCUGCGUCGCCCGCCGGCUGCCACCGGACGCCACCACCCGUCUCACCUUCCCGGCGAGCGUCCGGCGCAGCAUGAGGCCGCCGCUCCCGCCUGGCUACUGCGGCAACGGGAUCAUCUGGCUUGGCGCGGCUGGCAAGGUGCGAGACGUCACCUCCUCGGAGUCGGAGGACCUGGUGUUCGUGGCCGGCCAGAUCAGUAGCGCCGUCCGUCGGAUGGACGACGAGCUAGUGCGCUCGGCGAUAGACUACUUCGAGCUCACCGAGAUCGACAGCAAGCCGGCGCCGGGGCGCAUGCCAGAGACGGAGCUGCGGGUGAUCAGCUGGCUUGGCAUGCCGGUGUACGACGUGGACUUCGGGUGGGGGAAGCCGCUGGCAAUGCUGCGCGCAGUGUCGGAGCGCGCCGGGUUCGUCUAUCUGAUGGACAACGGGAAGGAGGACGGCAGCGUGCGCGUUCUCAUGUGUACGGAGGCCGCGAUCCUCAACGACUUCCAGCACCUACUGUACGCCCGGUUCUAG